GGACUGAUUAUUUUGUGACUGAGUGCGGACNAGUGAGUACGCGUGGGUACCUGCCUUGUACAGGGAUACAGUUGGAAACGGUGUAAUACCGAUAAGCGCACGGGAUCGCAUGAUGCAGUGUGAAAACUCCGGUGGUAUAAGAUGGACCCGCGUUGGAUUACUAGUUGGUGAGGUAACGGCCACCGAGGCGGGAUCCAUAGCCGACCUGAAGGGUGACCGGCCACAUUGGGACUGAGACACGGCCAAACUCCUACGGGAGGCAGCAGUGGGGAAUAUUGCACAAUGGGCGAAAGCCUGAUGCAGCGACGCCGCGUGAGCGAAGAAGUAUUUCGGUAUGUAAAGCCUCUAUCAGCAGGGAAGAUAAUGACGGUACCUGACUAAGAAGCACGGUAAAUACGUGCCACAGCCGGGUAUACGUAUUGGUGCAAGCGUUAUCCGGAUUUCUGGGUGUAAAAGGGAACCCCAGCGGGGCGGCAGUCUGAUGUGAAAGCCCGGGGUUCAACCCCGGGUAACUGCUGGGAACGGUCGUACCUAAAGUGUCGGAGGGUAAGGGGAAUUCCUAAUGUAGGNGAAAAGGCGUAAAUUUAAGGAGAAACACCA
rnacentral:rRNA from 1 species